UGGCGAAGAGGCCACACCCGUUCCCAUGCCGAACACGGAAGUUAAGCUCUUCAGCGCCGAUGGUAGUUGGGGGUUUCCCCCUGUGAGAGUAGGACGUUGCCAGGU
rnacentral:rRNA from 1 species